CAAAAGGAAGCAAGAGGGUGUGUUGCGGUAUAAAAGGUCUGAAGCUAUCGUCUGUUGAUAUUUCUCCUCUCAAACAGGACCAACGCCAUUUGAACUUGUCAGCUGGUCACACAAAGUUUAAGCCAACAUGAGCACUCAGCCAAGGUUGAUAGGCACGACCACACAGCCAAGAUUGAUAGAAGCAAUAUGUAUUCUCCAGGAAACAUUUAUAGAGUACGCAGAGAGAUCAGGAGAAAAACACACUAUGACCAAAGCAGAUUUUACUUUGAUGCUUCGCAAAGAGUGCUGCAUGCAGCUCGACAGCAAUCAGGCACUGACUGACUUCUUCAACCAGCUGGAUAGCAAUGGGGACGGUGUUUUGGACUUCAAUGAGUUUUGUGUUCUUAUGGCAACAUUCCUUACGCUGUUGUCACCUUCAUGAAAGCAUACUUUCUAUGUUCCUGCAUUACUGUUUUAUCCAUAAAAUGUAAUGAAUGCUAACUGACUCUGUUUGAGCCAUAUAUUAUUGGUUGACUCUCUUGUGUGACAAAAUAAAAUGGUGUUGGACUUUU